rnacentral:rRNA from 1 species
CGAUACUUGGUGUGAAUUGCAGAAUUCAGUGAAUCAUCGAAUCUUUGAACGCACAUUGCGCCCAUUAGUAUUCUAGUGGGCAUGCCUAUUCGAGCGUCAUUUCAACCCUUAAGCCCCUGUUGCUUAGUGUUGGGAAUCUGCGUCUUAGGGCGCAGUUCCUCAAAGUGAUUGGCGGAGUUAGGGCAUACUCUAAGCGUAGUAAUAUUCUUCUCGCUUCUGAAGUUGUCCUGGCGGCCGGCUCGUAAAACCCCUAUAUUUUUAGUGGUUGACCUCGAAUUAGGUAGGAAUACCCGCUGAACUUAAGCAUAUCAAUAAGCGGAGGAA